rnacentral:rRNA from 1 species
AUGGCAUGGGCCGCCACAUAUCUUGGCUACUCUCUGGCCUCGCACCGCUUGCGCAUGGGCACCGAGCGGGCCAUCAUCGACGGCGAGCUGCCCCAGCCGUGCCACCACGGCAAGGACAGGGCGUACAUGAUCGCCAAUAUGAUUCCUGUCGCCGCGUUCAUUGUGACACUGAUCUGGACCGCUUCCAUGGCGGCCAUCAUUUUUACAAACGACAUCACCGAUGAGUUUGACAUUGUCUUUCUCCUCUCAUACGUCGGUUGGAUACAUGUUGCCGUUUGGUUAUCAUAUGUUGCAGAUGUACCAAUGCGUAAAGUGCUGAUGAAAGAGCCAAUGGUCUCUCUACUUGCGUCUCUUCUCCCAUGCCUGAUGAUUUCUCCGGUGAUCAGCGCUGUCUGCCGUAUUCUGUCAAUCUUGUUCCAGUGGUUGAUGAUGAGCUUUGGUCGCUAUCCUUAG